rnacentral:rRNA from 2 species
CGAGCAUGUGGUUUAAUUCGAAGCAAACGCGAAGAACCUUACCAGGCUUGACAUGCCGCUGACCGUGCAGAGAUGCAUCUUUAGUCCUUUCGGGGUACAGCGGACACAGGGUGGUGCAUGGUUGUCGUCAGCUCGUGUCGUGAGAUGUUGGGUUAAGUCCCGCAACGAGCGCAACCCUUGUCUUUAGUUGCCAUCAUUAAGUUGGGCACUCUAAAGAGACUGCCGAUGACAAAUCGGAGGAAGGUGGGGAUGACGUCAAAUCAUCAUGCCCUUUAUGUCCUGGGCUACACACGUGCUACAAUGGUCGGUACAACGAGAAGCAAGCCAGCGAUGGCAAGCAAAUCUCUAAAAGCCGAUCCCAGUUCGGAUUGCAGGCUGCAACUCGCCUGCAUGAAGUCGGAGUUGCUAGUAAUCGCGGAUCAGAAUGCCGCGGUGAAUGCGUUCCCGGGUCUU